GAUGAACGCUGGCGGCGUGCCUAAUACAUGCAAGUCGAGCGAACGGACGAGAAGCUUGCUUCUCUGAUGUUAGCGGCGGACGGGUGAGUAACACGUGGAUAACCUACCUAUAAGACUGGGAUAACUUCGGGAAACCGUAGCUAAUACCGGAUAAUAUUUUGAACCGCAUGGUUCAAAAGUGAAAGACGGUCUUGCUGUCACUUAUAGAUGGAUCCGCGCUGCAUUAGCUAGUUGGUAAGGUAACGGCUUACCAAGGCAACGAUGCAUAGCCGACCUGAGAGGGUGAUCGGCCACACUGGAACUGAGACACGGUCCAGACUCCUACGGGAGGCAGCAGUAGGGAAUCUUCCGCACUGGGCGAAAGCCUGACGGAGCAACGCCGCGUGAGUGAUGAAGGUCUUCGGAUCGUAAAACUCUGUUAUUAGGGAAGAACAUAUGUGUAAGUAACUGUGCACAUCUUGACGGUACCUAAUCAGAAGCCACGGCUAACUACGUG
rnacentral:rRNA from 1 species